rnacentral:tRNA from 1 species
CGGGAUGUGGCGCAGCCUGGUAGCGCGUCUGUUUUGGGAACAGAAGGCCGGGGGUUCGAAUCCCACCAUCCCGA